rnacentral:sRNA from 1 species
AAUUUCCGAGGAUGAGUUACUGUACUAGAUCUCUUUCUUCCCGACUUCCGU